GCCGGGAAUAUCAGGAAAAGUUGUAUGACAAGGUUGGAGGACAUGCCAGAAACACAUGGGAGAGCUAUGUGUGAAGUGCUAAGACUGUGAUCAUGGCUUCAGUGGAUGCUCCAGGAACUUGCAAGGACAGGAAUAUGGGGCAGAUGCAGAAGAAAGCUGCAGUCCGCCAGCCCAUGAGACGGCUAUGUAUUCUCCAAAUGGCAAGGUCAUGCAGUGGAGCUGCCCAAGCCCUUUGGAGUUCACAGCUCACCAUUACAGGCUCAGAUGCCAGACUUAAGAGAGGACUUCGAAGAUUAACCUACAAAUUGAAGUAGAAGGGGACUAUUUCUCCAGGGUCUCACAAUAUAGUUGAGACUGACCUGGAACUC